rnacentral:rRNA from 1 species
AACGAACGCUGGCGGCAUGCCUAACACAUGCAAGUCGAACGAGACCUUCGGGUCUAGUGGCGCACGGGUGCGUAACACGUGGGAAUUUGCCUCGGGGUAUGGAAUAACUCAGGGAAACUUGAGCUAAUACCAUAUAAUGUCUUCGGACCAAAGAUUUAUCGCCCUGAGAUAAGCCCGCGUAGGAUUAGCUAGUUGGUGGGGUAAAGGCUCACCAAGGCGACGAUCCUUAGCUGGUCUGAGAGGAUGAUCAGCCACACUGGGACUGAGACACGGCCCAGACUCCUACGGGAGGCAGCAGUGGGGAAUAUUGGGACAAUGGGCGAAAGCCUGAUCCAGCAAUGCCGCGUGAGUGAUGAAGGCCU